rnacentral:rRNA from 1 species
AUACGGAGGAUGCAAGCGUUAUCCGGAUUUAUUGGGUUUAAAGGGUGCGUAGGCGGAUGAUUAAGCGUGAGGUGAAAUGCCACUGCUCCACAGUGGAACUGCCUCGCGAACUGGUUGUCUUGAAUGCUCCUGCCGUGGGAGGAAUGUGUGGUGUAGCGGUGAAAUGCAUAGAGAUCACACAGAACACCGAUUGCGAAGGCAUCUCACGAAGGGGUGAUUGACGCUGAGGCACGAAAGCGUGGGGAUCAAACAGGAUUAGAUACCCUGGUAGUCCACGCAGUAAACGAUGAUAACUAACCGCUGGGUCGUAGUGAUUCAGUGGCCAAGCGAAAGCGAUAAGUUAUCCACCUGGGGAGUACGACCGCAAGGUUGAAACUCAAAUGAAUUGACGGGG